rnacentral:rRNA from 1 species
CGCGUAGGCGGUUAUAUAAGAUUGGUGUGAAAUCCCUGGGCUUAACCUAGGAACUGCAUCGAUAACUGUAUGACUGGAGUAUUGUAGAGGGUAGUGGAAUUUCCGGUGUAGCGGUGAAAUGCGUAGAGAUCGGAAGGAACACCAGUGGCGAAGGCGGCUACCUGGACAAAUACUGACGCUGAGGCGCGAGAGCGUGGGGAGCAAACA